rnacentral:ribozyme from 14 species
AUUUUCAUUUUUCUUUCUUUUUCUUUCUUUUCUUUUCUGAAGAGAGAUGCACUGAGAAGUGACAUAUAAACUUGAAAUGAGAGGGAAAGUGCAAACAUU